GGUAUCGCCGACUUAACUCCCAACCCCUGUGACAUACCUUAAUGUUGCCUCGGCGGAUCAGCCCGCGCCCGGUAAAACGGGACGGCCCGCCAGAGGAUCCAAACUCUUGCUGUUAUUGUAACUUCUGAGUAAAACAAACAAAUAAAUCAAAACUUUCAACAACGGAUCUCUUGGUUCUGGCAUCGAUGAAGAACGCAGCAAAAUGCGAUAAGUAAUGUGAAUUGCAGAAUUCAGUGAAUCAUCGAAUCUUUGAACGCACAUUGCGCCCGCCAGUAUUCUGGCGGGCAUGCCUGUUCGAGCGUCAUUUCAACCCUCAAGCCCCCGGGUUUGGUGUUGGGGAUCGGCAAGCCUUCUGGCGAGCCGCCCCCUAAAUCUAGUGGCGGUCUCACUGCAGCCUCCAUUGCGUAGUAGCUAACACCUCGCAACUGGAACGCGGUGCGGCCAUGCCGUUAAACCCCCAACUUCUGAAUGUUGACCUCGGAUCAGGUAGGAAUACCCGCUGAACUUAAGCAUAUCAAACCCCCGAGGAUUUCUGUACUUGAUUUCAAUUCAGUGAUUUUAAAUUAUUAGAAGGUUGCCUGUCCGUCAAGCCGCCUGGGAAAUAAGUGUAGCUUGCCUUGAUGCAAGCUCUUUGCGUUUUG
rnacentral:rRNA from 1 species